CCCCAUCCUCAAAAAGAUUCGUCCUCGAAUCUGAAAAAUCAAAUGAACUCGACUUUCCUCUAUCGAACGGGACUAAUGGCAAUUGAGUCCACUGAAAAGAAUAGCCAUGAGAUAGUAAAUAGCAACGGAAACAAGCUUGUAGUCCAAUCAUAAGCAUAACAGAACAGGUAUAACGCAUGUGAAUGGACAGAUUCAGAUUACCAUGCAAACAAUCUAAUUUACUCACCACUGCCUCGUCAAAUAUUUGAAACAAAGAUGGACAUGUUUUAAGGCAUUCAGUCGUCUCACAUUGUUCCCACAAACCAUGAAUAAAU
rnacentral:lncRNA from 1 species